rnacentral:rRNA from 1 species
AUGAACGCUAGCUACAGGCUUAACACAUGCAAGUCGAGGGGCAGCAUGGUCUUAGCUUGCUAAGACUGAUGGCGACCGGCGCACGGGUGAGUAACACGUAUCCAACCUGCCGUCUACUCUUGGACAGCCUUCUGAAAGGAAGAUUAAUACAAGAUGGCAUCAUGAGUCCGCAUGUUCACAUGAUUAAAGGUAUUCCGGUAGACGAUGGGGAUGCGUUCCAUUAGAUAGUAGGCGGGGUAACGGCCCACCUAGUCUUCGAUGGAUAGGGGUUCUGAGAGGAAGGUCCCCCACAUUGGAACUGAGACACGGUCCAAACUCCUACGGGAGGCAGCAGUGAGGAAUAUUGGUCAAUGGGCGAGAGCCUGAACCAGCCAAGUAGCGUGAAGGAUGACUGCCCUAUGGGUUGUAAACUUCUUUUAUAAAGGAAUAAAGUCGGGUAUGCAUACCCGUUUGCAUGUACUUUAUGAAUAAGGAUCGGCUAACUCCGUGCCAGCAGCCGCGGUAAUACGGAGGAUCCGAGCGUUAUCCGGAUUUAUUGGGUUUAAAGGGAGCGUAGAUGGAUGUUUAAGUCAGUUGUGAAAGUUUGCGGCUCAACCGUAAAAUUGCAGUUGAUACUGGAUAUCUUGAGUGCAGUUGAGGCAGGCGGAAUUCGUGGUGUAGCGGUGAAAUGCUUAGAUAUCACGAAGAACUCCGAUUGCGAAGGCAGCCUGCUAAGCUGCAACUGACAUUGAGGCUCGAAAGUGUGGGUAUCAAACAGGAUUAGAUACCCUGGUAGUCCACACGGUAAACGAUGAAUACUCGCUGUUUGCGAUAUACGGCAAGCGGCCAAGCGAAAGCGUUAAGUAUUCCACCUGGGGAGUACGCCGGCAACGGUGAAACUCAAAGGAAUUGACGGGGGCCCGCACAAGCAGUGGAGUAUGUGGUUUAAUUCGAAGCAACGCGAAGAACCUUACCUGAUCUUGACAUCCCGAUGACCGCUUCGUAAUGGAAGCUUUUCUUCGGAACAUCGGUGACAGGUGGUGCAUGGUUGUCGUCAGCUCGUGUCGUGAGAUGUUGGGUUAAGUCCCGCAACGAGCGCAACCCUUACUGUCAGUUACUACGCAAGAGGACUCUGGCAGGACUGCCGUUGACAAAACGGAGGAAGGUGGGGAUGACGUCAAAUCAUCAUGCCCCUUAUGACCUGGGCUACACACGUACUACAAUGGACAUUAACAGAGGGAAGCAAUACAGCGAUGUGGAGCAAACCCCUAAAAAUGUUCUCAGUUCAGAUUGCAGGCUGCAACUCGCCUGCACGAAGUCGGAAUUGCUAGUAAUCGCGGAUCAGCAUGCCGCGGUGAAUACGUUCCCGGGCCUUGUACACACCGCCCGUCACACCAUGAGAGCCGGGGGGACCCGAAGUCGGUAGUCUAACCGCAAGGAGGACGCCGCCGAAGGUAAAACUGGUGAUUGGGGUG